GGACUUGGGGUUUGGGAUGUAGGAAGGGUUUUUGAGAGAAAAGGAAAGGUUUAUCCAUGAUAGUUCUCUCAAGGUCAGGUGGAAAGAUGGGUUUGAAGAGAUGGGAGCUAGAUCCAGGGGAUUCUGGAAGGAAUGAAACCCAUGGGAAGAGAAGAAAAAGCUCGGCUAAAUAAAGAAGAUGAACAUGAGUUUUGAGGGAUUUGGUUGGUUUUAAUUUGGUGUGAUCAGUCAGAUUCCAAAGUUUAAUGAACUUGGGUCUGGAUCAAGUC
rnacentral:lncRNA from 1 species